GUAUGGUGAUGGACCAUCUUUGGAGGAUGAUCCGCCACGUAGGCGACACGUCAUAGUCCUCCCAAGGAUGGAUCAUCCUCCAAAACUAGGGGGCAUGGGAGGAUGUGGACGACUCAUGCGGAAACGACGUCGAAAAAUCUCGGCUGGGUACACGGGUUCGUCGGCAAAAUAAUCGGCUACUAGUUUAUCGUGGCCGGCUAUAAAUUUAGAACAAAACAUAAAUGAAAUUAAUUAUAAAAUACAUUUUA
rnacentral:lncRNA from 1 species